AGAGUUUGAUCCUGGCUCAGGAUGAACGCUGACAGAAUGCUUAACACAUGCAAGUCAACUUGAACUUCGGUUUGGGUGGCGGACGGGUGAGUAACGCGUAAAGAACUUGCCUCACAGCUAGGGACAACAUUUGGAAACGAAUGCUAAUACCUGAUAUUAUGAUUUUAGGGCAUCCUAGAAUUAUGAAAGCUAUAUGCGCUGUGAGAGAGCUUUGCGUCCCAUUAGCUAGUUGGAGAGGUAACGGCUCACCAAGGCGAUGAUGGGUAGCCGGCCUGAGAGGGUGAUCGGCCACAAGGGGACUGAGACACGGCCCUUACUCCUACGGGAGGCAGCAGUGGGGAAUAUUGGACAAUGGACCAAGAGUCUGAUCCAGCAAUUCUGUGUGCACGAUGAAGUUUUUCGGAAUGUAAAGUGCUUUCAGUUGGGAAGAAAAAAAUGACGGUACCAACAGAAGAAGUGACGGCUAAAUACGUGCCAGCAGCCGCGGUAAUACGUAUGUCACAAGCGUUAUCCGGAUUUAUUGGGCGUAAAGCGCGUCUAGGUGGUUAUGUAAGUCUGAUGUGAAAAUGCAGGGCUCAACUCUGUAUUGCGUUGGAAACUGUGUAACUAGAGUACUGGAGAGGUAAGCGGAACUACAAGUGUAGAGGUGAAAUUCGUAGAUAUUUGUAGGAAUGCCGAUGGGGAAGCCAGCUUACUGGACAGAUACUGACGCUAAAGCGCGAAAGCGUGGGUAGCAAACAGGAUUAGAUACCCUGGUAGUCCACGCCGUAAACGAUGAUUACUAGGUGUUGGGGGUCGAACCUCAGCGCCCAAGCAAACGCGAUAAGUAAUCCGCCUGGGGAGUACGUACGCAAGUAUGAAACUCAAAGGAAUUGACGGGGACCCGCACAAGCGGUGGAGCAUGUGGUUUAA
rnacentral:rRNA from 1 species